UUUCAAAGGUUGACCUCGAGAGCUGAAAUAGAUGACAAAAAGGAAACUUGGAAGAUUGUUGUUCGAGUGAUUAACAUGUGGACCAUACCAAGAUCGCCUAAGUGUAUUGUUCAGCUAAUUUUAGUUGACAAGAAUGUCAGGCACUUAUCCGAUAUCAAUCCAGAAAUCGUGCGGGUGUGCAAGUAUGUUGAUUGGUGCAGGAAGCAAAACUGGGGUUGCUGAACCAUGGUUCAGUCUUUAAAGCGCAAAUAUUGACUCAUGAGUUUCCUUUGCAUUUCAAAACCUCAUGUGCUUCUUCCAUCAACAGUGGAAAAACCAUGGAUAAUGUGCCAAAAAUCAAGACAGAGCCUGGCUUGAAAGAUGAAAAUCAUCUACCUCACGUGGCACGACAGAGUCAUGCUCCACCAAUGUUACUGCAGACACCUUUUAACCAGACAACUAACACGUGUACAACCUCUACGCCUGAUGUUUGGUGAAGUCAAUAGGCCUUUUGCUGUUAGAUGGAAAGACCAACUUGAUCAUCACUGACAUUUAAUUAACAGACAUGACAAUCUGGAUGAUGUUGUCUACAAUAAAAAUUUGACCAGUCCAACCAUUGUGCGCGGAUGCAUGGACAACACUAAGGACUUUCUAUGGGCUCGAGGGAGAUCACUAUAUUACAUUAGCCUAUUAUGGCCAGCCUCUCUUCUUGCUAACCAUAUUCAAAACCUCCAGUGAUCCAAAAGCUUUUCUAAAAUGACACUCAUUAUACCAUCAAGUGCCAAAUUCAAUGACUUUCAAGAUGCUUCUUAAUGAAUACAAGGCCACGUGCAGUGGCUUGGUAAGAUACUUAGUUACAUACUUCAUUAAUUAACAAGCAUCUUCAUUUGUUUUUUUUAAAUUAUCCGUUAACUCAAAUUCAUUUAUUAGUUAUGGUAGGAUGUUCCAAGUUGUAUGUACUACUUUAUGAAAGAGAAACAGUUCACUCAAUUGAACAUAGCAGUGCCGAAUGUCACAUUAUUUACAAUGAUUGGCGAAAGAUAGCAAAAAUUGGAUCUGGAUGGAGAGAUUUUUCCAAAUCCCAUAGCUUCAAAGCUGGCAUGGAAUUAGUGUUUGAAUUUCCUGAUCCCAAUGUCAACUAUGCUUUCAUUUGACCUUGCUUAUAAAU